rnacentral:rRNA from 1 species
AUUGAACGCUGGCGGCAGGCCUAACACAUGCAAGUCGAACGAGUGGCGGACGGGUGAGUAAUGUCUGGGAAACUGCCUGAUGGAGGGGGAUAACUACUGGAAACGGUAGCUAAUACCGCAUACCAUCGGAUGUGCCCAGAUGGGAUUCGCUAGUAGGUGGGGUAAAGGCUCACCUAGGCGACGAUCCCUAGCUGGUCUGAGAGGAUGACCAGCCACACUGUAACUGAGACACGGUCCAGACUCCUACGGGAGGCAGCAGUGGGGAGUAUUGCACAAGGGGAGCAAGCCUGAUGCAGCCAUGCCGCGUGUAUGAAGAAGGCCUUCGGGUUGUAAAGUACUUUUAGCAGGGAAGCGGUAUCCGCAGAAGAAGCACCGGCUAACUCCGUGCCAGCAGCCGCGGUAAUAC